rnacentral:rRNA from 1 species
GAUGAACGCUGGCGGCGUGCCUAAUACAUGCAAGUCGAGCGAACGGACGAGAAGCUUGCUUCUCUGAUGUUAGCGGCGGACGGGUGAGUAACACGUGGAUAACCUACCUAUAAGACUGGGAUAACUUCGGGAAACCGGAGCUAAUACCGGAUAAUAUUUUGAACCGCAUGGUUCAAAAGUGAAAGACGGUCUUGCUGUCACUUAUAGAUGGAUCCGCGCUGCAUUAGCUAGUUGGUAAGGUAACGGCUUACCAAGGCAACGAUGCAUAGCCGACCUGAGAGGGUGAUCGGCCACACUGGAACUGAGACACGGUCCAGACUCCUACGGGAGGCAGCAGUAGGGAAUCUUCCGCAAUGGGCGAAAGCCUGACGGAGCAACGCCGCGUGAGUGAUGAAGGUCUUCGGAUCGUAAAACUCUGUUAUUAGGGAAGAACAUAUGUGUAAGUAACUGUGCACAUCUUGACGGUACCUAAUCAGAAAGCCACGGCUAACUACGUGCCAGCAGCCGCGGUAAUACGUAGGUGGCAAGCGUUAUCCGGAAUUAUUGGGCGUAAAGCGCGCGUAGGCGGUUUUUAAGUCUGAUGUGAAAGCCCACGGCUCAACCGUGGAGGGUCAUUGGAAACUGGAAAACUUGAGUGCAGAAGAGGAAAGUGGAAUUCCAUGUGUAGCGGUGAAAUGCGCAGCAGAUAUGGAGGAACACCAGUGGCGAAGGCGACUUUCUGGUCUGUAACUGACGCUGAUGUUGCGAAAGGCGUGGGGCAUCCAAACAGGGAUUAAGAUACCCCUGGGUAGUCCAACGCCGUAAACGAUGAGUGCUACGUGUUAAGGGGGGUUACCGGCCCUUAAUUG